GCCCGAGUGGCCAGCUGCCUGCUGAGGUUCUUCACGGCGCAGGAUGCCCCCCAGACCCAAGCUCCCUCCACAGCCUAUCCGGGCUGCUUUUAGUGUCCCAAGCACCUCCUGCAUACUGACAUCAGGACCCUUAGUUGAAGCAGAAGGAUAAGGAGGCAAUUCUACCUCAAUUUCUUUAUCAACUGGAUCAAGAUGUAUAUAUAUUCUUCUGCAACCAUAUUUCACGGAAAAAAAAUCUUCAGCUGUAAAUAGCAAAGUGCAUUUCAGGGAUUAGCUCUACUUGAUUCCUAGCUGCUGAGUGAUUAACCCAGGGGAGUCCAUCUGCAAACCCUACAAGCUAGCUGGGUUACAUUCCCUCAUGCUUCCAGCUCCACUGACUGUGUUUUUACCAUGCUGCCAGGGUGGAUUCCAGCUGCUCACCUCGGUGGUGAGGAAGAUGGAUUUAUGUUCUCAAUGCUAGCUCAAGGCUGCGCUGACAGAACACUGAGCACAGGUCACAGCUGCUCUGGACCUGGGUCAGCCCCACGUCCUCCCUGUGAAUCUGCCUCUGGGUCAUCUUCAUGCAGCCACUGGAGGACAGACAAGUCAGCUUCCCAGAAGAUACCAAGACCUGCAGUGUGGGAAAGGUGAGGAGGCCGUCCAUGGGACAUGGCAUGCAGGCUAUAAUCCACCUCAUCAGCUGCUUGGUGGAAAUGUCUCAAAGAUACUGCAGCAAACCACCUGAUUUUCUGGUUUACCAAGCUAUCUUCAAUGAUUGCAGGGGACUAAAUGCAAAGGGAUUAAGGAAAAAAAGCCUUUAGGAAAAUUAAAGAAAGUUUCAAAGCAGUGUCAACAUGCAUCUAUUGUGCAUGUUGCACUUACAUGUGGGAAGUGCUAGGAGUUAAUUUUUGAAUGCUAAAGUCAUUAAAACAGCAGCUCUGGAAUUAGCUUCCUAUGUAAGGUAGUACUGUAAAUAACAUCCCUUUUGCAUGGGCAGAUUGUCACUUUCUGCAGUGACAUGUUAACAGUUUUUAGUGGCAGUACAGGCAAUGUCUGAAGUCCUUUAACUAACAGGACCCUAUUAAUUUAUUGGAUUUAUGGUUUAGCCAUGCAAUUGCUUCAUGUUCUACAAAAAGACAUUACAUUUUGCAAUCUACACAACCCACAAGUGUCUGAUGUCUUCCUAGUGUUUCCCUCUAUCAGUCAGUCAUAGAAAAAGCACAAGAGAAUUUGAGUGGAACAGGGUCCUGGAUCUGAGCUGGAGAGAAGGCAGCCAAAGGAGAGAAAUAAAGGAACAGUGGGACAUGAGGGAACUGUGUGAUAUUACUGCUUGUAGCGAGGUUUACGAGGUUUGGAAGGAAAGAAAUCCUGAAAAAACUACUAUGGGGAACAUUGGAAUGCCAGUAAGAGCAGCAGUCCAAGGAAAGCAAGACCAAGACUACAGAAAUGAACUGAGACAAAGACACUCAAAUCAUCAGAGGCAAAUGCACAGUAAGUAAGUAAUAAGUAAGUAAUGCUAGGGUGACAGUUCACUCUGCAUAUUUAUAUUUCUCUUCACUUUGUAUUCACAGAGCUCUUUGAAAUGCAGGAGUAAGUUUCUGAGAGGCUUAAAGGAUUUAGCCAUCUAGCUAAAAUAAACAAAACACUCCUGUCUGCUGGAGGAGCAGUAGAUAAGACUAGUUACAAGAAAUGCUUAAAGUAGUUGUUACAAAGAGAAAAACAUCUAAUAGAAACAAAAAAACCCAAACGCCAAGCCCAAUAAAACAAAAAAACAAAGAGCAAUAACAAAAAAUUAAAAAAAAAAAAAACAAAACAAAAACCCACCCAUUAAUCUGUGCCUUCCUUGUUAAUUUUAAGUAUGUGAGUAUUGCUACCACUCCACCUGUUCUGUGGGGCUUGGUGUCCCAACAGGAGAAAUGAAACACUUGAAAGACAGAAACACAAGAAGGACUUGGGAGAAACCAUUCAAAAGGGUAUUCCUCAUUAUUCAAGCUGUCCCUUCCAGUCACUUUUUUGUGCUCUUGCUGCUGGGAAUGAUCAGCUGCAGCUUUGAAACACGGGAGUGCUCAACAUCAAACAACCAGACCACAUGGACACGUCCCAGAUAUUACCACAUCACUAUAUUACACAAAAAGUCAAAAAAGUUUAUUGCCCCUCCUCACUUAAACCAUUAUCUCUGCCCUCCAUGUUUCCAAAAAAGGGUUGGUGGAAAGGAUUAGCAGUGCCAAAAAUAUUUCUCAUCCAGAAAAUACAGAAGAGAGUUUGAACUCAGACAAUCCCCACUUGAUAUUUUUGCUUGUUACAAGCUGGCAAGUAGUUGAAAUUUUAGAUGGCAAAAACCCAAGAGAUAUUUGGAGAUUAAUCAAUACAAUGAAUUCAUCUCAUGAGAAGGUUGAAGAAUGGAGGAGAAAUAGAUGCUAUACAAGCAGAACCAAGAGAACAAUGAUAUGGAUGCAGGUAGAAGUCUCUCCUGUGAUUCUGUGAACGGAUUAUUUGCUGCACUAUUGCCUGGUCUCUAACAGAAGGAACACAUUCAUUUUUCAAUACUAUGCUCAGGAGUAUGAAGAAAA